AGCAUAAGCCUAAAACCAUAAUCAACUAAAAUAUGCAACUGCAUCAAGAAAAAUAAUUUUGGUAUAAAUAGUUCACUAUGCAAAACUAAAAGCAUUUUAUUGAUUAUGCUCCUCAAUUUCAGCAAUUUUGAUUCCACAUUUGAAAAAGAAAAGUAAAGUGGUUCUCCUUUCAGCAUCUUUUUGCCACCGGCACUGCGUCGUUUGUUUUCCCUAUUAUAUAACCUCGAUUCAGAAAAUAACAGCUUGGUCAUCCCAAAUGCUCAAGAGAUUAAUCUAUCCACAGAUAAUAUAUUGUUUCUUUGUAAACCUGAGAUUGAACAAGAGUAGUACUCAUAUGAGACAACAAACUACUCCAUGUUAUUCAAUUCAAGAGGCAAAUUUGAUGAAAAUUGUGCAAUUAAUUAAAAUUUAAGCAACCGCAAAGUCCAAUGGGUUAGUUGCGCCUAAAUACACAAACUUUCAACCAAUUCUAGUUUUGCACAUAAACUAAAAAAUCUGCCUCCAAACACAUGAACUUUCAAUUGUUCUGAUUUUUCACACGAUUAUCAACUGCACCCAAAUUAAUGUUGAGGUGGAUGCCUUAAAUGCCUACAUGGUUUAAACAAUUGAUGUGCUAGACGAGGUACUUGGAUUUCUACGCUACUUCAGCUUGUCACGGUGAUAUUAAUUUGUCACUUUAACUAGCCACGAACGCUGAAAAUUGAUAGCCGUGUGAAAAAUCGGAACAAUUAAAAGUUCGUGUAUUUGGAGGCGGAAUAUUUAGUUCAUGUGGAAAACCAGAAAUCACUAAAAGUACAUGUAUAUAGGCACAAUUACCCCAAGUCCAAUAAAGUAGGACAUGAAAGUUAACUUAUCCUUCUUUCUUUGUGAACUCCAUUAGGCAUCACAUCUUAAGUGCAUUCAAAUAUGUUCACCACUCACAUACCACCUCCCUACAAAAAUAGAGAAACUCAAGGAAAAGAUCAAGAUCAUACCCUAUCACAGUAGAUAUGAUUCAACUACAGUUCGGCCAAACUUUUCCUGCACAUCUUUGGGAGUUUCAAUCUGCGAGCAAAAGAAAGAGGAAUAGAAAAGGAUAAACAAUGGUGAAAUAUAAUAUCCAUGUAGAUAAUGUAUAUAAUAUAAUUCCUCCCAUUUACCGCAUUUAAUGCUUUGAAGAGAGCCUUCACAGUGUUGUGGGGAUUCCUUGAACCAACAACCUACAAGAGUAUUUCCAUCAGGACAAAGUUGGAAACGAAAGAACAUAUUUCUCGAGCCAGCUAAGUUAAGAAUCAACUCCACAGUUUUGCCUGCCUUCAUCCCUGAUUGUGUGGGAGCUGGCCAAAGAUACACCUACAAGCACUUAAAAUUUUCAAGCCAAAAUCCCUAAAGAAGAAAAACAGCUUUCUAUCAAUUUCAACCAUCAACAAAGAUAUACAACUAGAAAUUUGACGAUACCUUAGUGUUUUUAUACGAUGUCUGAAUUGCAUGUGCAAUUGUAUGAUCCUCAACAUAGUGCAGAUUCUGUGGCAAUAGGCCAUUAACAUAUUAAACUAUAAAUAACAGAUGCCGCGAUGAGUUUCUAUAAAUAUUGAAACGUUUUCUUAUUUGAACAGACAAUCCAGUGGNAGAAAUGUCUAUAUAUCAUUCAUACUCCACUUUGAUUUAUUUUCUGCACGCAAUGAAUGGAUAAGAAGACUCUAAAAGUUUAUAAUUUGAAGGAAAAAUACAUAAUUAAAAGAGCUGGUACAAAACUACACCAAGUGAAGCUGUGGAAUGGAAUCUAAAUCUUACAAAUUAAGUGCCCAUACCAACGUUAUUUCCUAUCCUCAACACAAUUCAUGAGAGAGAAAAUGAGCAUAAGCCUAAAACCAUAAUCAACUAAAAUAUGCAACUGCAUCAAGAAAAAUGAUUUUGGUAUGAAUAGUUCACUAUACAAACUAAAAGCAUUUUAUUGAUUAUGCUCCUCAAUUUCAGAAAUUUUGAUUCCACAUUUCAAAAAGAAAAGCAAAGUGGUUCUCUUUUCAGCAUCUGUUUGCCACCGGCACUACGUCGUUUGUUUUCCCUAUUAUAUAACCUCGAUUCAGAAAAUAACAGCUUGGUCAUCCCAAAUGCUCAAGAGAUUAAUCUAUCCACGGAUAAUAUUGUUUCUUUGUAAACCU
rnacentral:lncRNA from 1 species